rnacentral:lncRNA from 1 species
CUCAACCUGCAGGUUGGUAACCAUAUCUAUAAAUGUAGUCAAGCACACAAAAUUAUCUACUCAAAGCCUUUUUUCUUUUUACUAAAAAUUCUUACAGAUUACACGUUCAGUGUUUUUAUUUUGAUUUUUUUACCUUAGCCCUUGGUGACAGUCAAAAACUUUAAAUGAUAAUUAUGUAAAGACAAGUUUACAGGGGCCUGGGGGUAGACAUUGAGUGAUGGGUUCAAAAUACAUACCUGUCAUGUAUGUACAGGAUAAAACGUUGGCUCCAGGCCUUGCUUGCACUUCCAGAUUUAUUCUGACAUUCUCAUAUAAGCUUCUACCAUCCAUUUCUAUUGAAUCGUCUGCAGUUGCCUUGAAUAUGUCAUGUUGCCAUUUGCCUUCUUGCCCUUUCAUUUGGCCUGCCUUUAUCUGGAACACUUCUCCAUAGCCAUUCAAUUUUGCCUUUUUCUCAUGCUAACUCUAGCACUGCCUACUGCCUAGGGGAACAAAGGGCAUGGUGCUGGGUACUUAUAGGCACCAGAACAUUCCUGAGGACUCACACCACAGGGAAAGGCUUUGUACUCAUUGCUCUUCAUCCCACUGCUGUGUGCUAUUGUCUUUGUGAUCUUCAUGAUUAGAUUUUGCUUCUUCAAGGAAGAUAUAAAAGAGCCCAAGUAAUUCUGGAAACCAGCAUUUUACCCUUGACCUCCUGCUUUUCAUCCUACUGGUCCUUGCCAGAAGUCGCUGGUUGCCUGGUAUAAGAAAACAAUCAUAAUUAUCUCAUUAAUACUUGGACCUGGCCUCCCUGCUAAUCAGGUUUGUACUGCUGAGAUUUCAAAGAAGGAGAACAGAAAUCUACUAAGAAGAAAUAAAUUGGUUCUCAGGCUAUAAAUAGUUCUAGGAAGCUGCCCAGGGACAAAAAUUUGCCUGCUGGUGAAAUAAAAGACCAUGUAAACUGUAGAUUUAUUUGGAGAGUAUAGCUCCAUGAAUUUAACUGGUCUAGACUCUGGGCCUCUGGAAGGCAGAGACCAUGCUCUCAGCCUUGCCUUUAGUACCUUGUCUGUAACAGGCUAUCAGAUAUGUUGAUUGUGUCAAAGAUAAGCAAAUUCUGAAAUGAGUAAUUUUUUUCAUUCUCUAUCCUCUCUGAAUUCACUUAGUGCUUCUCAGAAUGUGUCUGAGUGGAAAG